ensembl:lncRNA
AGAGUCAAUGCAAUGAUGAAAUUGAAUUCAUGAAUCAUGUAUCAGCAUACACCCUCUUAAUUUCCUCCUCAUUGUCCACAUGUGAGUGAUUCAUCGGCAAUGAGUAUAUAAAGACCAGUGUGCUUCACAGUUGAAUCAAACUCUUCAUCAGUCAUGGACAAAAGUGUGCUGCUGGUGCUGUUGUGUCUGCAGGUUUUCCUGCUCAUCACAGCCUUCACUUCUUCUGAUGCAGCCGCUCUACAGAAAGAGGAUCAACAACAACCGUUUCCUGACCUGGUGGAGGUGGGAGGAACUGAGGCCAAAGGAAGAAGACCAUGGCCACCCGGCUGCUGGUUAAGACCAGGUUGUUCUUCACCCUUCGGAAAGGUAAAGAUUUUUUUUUUUUUUUUUUACAAUAAAUUAAGUGAAUCAUUUUAUUUAUUUGUUUAUACAUAUAUACAGUGUGUGUGUGUGUGUGUGUGUGUGUGUGUGUGUGUGUGUGUGUGUGUGUGUGUUUUUAUUUUUUAUCAUUAUAAUUAUUUCUUCAUCUAUGUAUUAAAAACUGGAUUGUAUUAAUGUACCCCUCUUCUUCUUCUUCCUUAAAUGUACACUUUAGCAAAUCAUUGAAAACGUACUUCCAUAAGGACUUUCUAUAUGUCUUACUAUGGCUUUAAAUUGUUUUGUGGGAUAAGGGGAAUGUUUAUUUUACUUUUGGAAAAUAGAAUAAUAUACUACAUGUACAAUGUCGCUUUUGUAGCUGCUUUUUCCAAAUUACUCAAUAAUAACACAUUUAUUUGUAUAUAUUUAUAUAUAUAUGUGUGUGUAUAUGUAUAUGUCUAUAUAUAUAUAUAUAUAUAUAUAUAUAUAUAUAUAUAUAUAUAUAUAUAUAUAUAUAUGUGUAUGUAUGUGUGUGUGUAUAUAUAUAUAUAUAUAUAUAUGUGUGUGUGUAUAUGUCUAUAUAUAUAUAUGUAUAUGUAGAAAAAGAAAGAUGCUCUCCUCAGAAUCUACAUCUUGAAAAGCAAAGAACGGGAAACAUAAAUGGGAUAAAGGCAUUUACUACAAAUGAGUGUAAGAGAAACAAAUAGGUAGUAGUUAACUCUGUAACAACAGGGGUUUCCCAUGCUGCCUUCAGGUACAUCACCUGCAGAGCAAGCCAAACAGAUAUACUUUUGUUUUAUUAUCUUUGAACUGUUUCAGAUUCUCUUUUCUCUUUGUUUACAGUUCCCAGUUACACCAAACCCUCCACUGACGGCUUUGGACAUAAAGACGUAAAUGUGCUUCAUAUUUUGGGGAUAAAUAUAUUAUUAGCAUAGAUCAAGAUCUGUGUUGUUUUCUUGCAAUAUAGUCAAAUAAAAAAGUGACUGUUAAGGUAAACAAAAUGUAAACAUGUAUAACACUUUCUAAAUGUAAUCAAUGUAGAUUAACUGAUUACAUUCUGGUGAUGUUGUAAAUGCUCCACUACACACAUAUUGAUAUGUUUUAUCUUGCUCUACAUCUCAGUGACUUUUCUCCUUUUUCUUCUACAUCAGUGAUAAGAAGAAAACCAAACAAGUCCGCACUGCAGAAAUGAAGACAGACAUGAAAACCUGCAUCUUCUCUUCAAGGAAGCUGUUCUACUUUGCUUUGCUAAUUGCAUUUUUUGUUGACAAAAGUCAAUCAUUGCAUGAGCUCAGCAUUGUGAAAGCCACAAUGCUUUGUUUUGUUUUCUCAUUAUGAAUAUACAUUUACUAUAUUACUGUUUAAUUUCAGUUUAUUAUUUUGCUGUUAAAUGUUGUUAAAUGAAAAAAAUAAAAAUGUCUCAAUUUU